AAAACAUAUAGAGUAGAAACUUUAUAAAUUAAUAAUGUUGGGACCA
rnacentral:sRNA from 1 species